rnacentral:rRNA from 1 species
CCUAGGGAGGCAGCAGUGGGGAAUAUUGGACAAUGGGCGAAAGCCUGAUCCAGCCAUGCCGCGUGAGUGAUGAAGGCCCUAGGGUUGUAAAGCUCUUUCGCCAGGGACGAUAAUGACGGUACCUGGAUAAGAAGCCCCGGCUAACUUCGUGCCAGCAGCCGCGGUAAU